rnacentral:lncRNA from 1 species
CCGGUGUCGGUGGCCAAUCUCCGGUCUCCACUCCAACUACUUCCCCUGCUAAAGCCCCCGCCGUUACUGAAACUCCGGCGAAAACUCCGGCUUCUUCACCGGUCGAGUCACCUAAAUCUCCGCCUCCGGCUCCUGUUCCCGAGAGCUCUCCUCCGGCUCCUUCACCAAAAGCUUCUGCUCCAGUGAGCUCUCCACCGGUUCCAGCACCAGAAGCUGAUACUCCUCCGGCUCCGGUAGCCGCUCCAGUUGCCGAUGUACCGGCUCCGGCUCCGAGCAAGCAUAAAAAGGCGGCGAAGAAGCAUCAAAAAGCACCGGCUCCGGCUCCGGAACUUGACAGUCCACCUGCACCACCGGCAGAAGCUCCUGGACCUGACUCCGACGCAUCUUCUCCCGGUCCGGCCACAUCCGCCGACGAUCAGGUACAUUAGCCUUAAAUUUCAAUAAAAAAUGAUGAAAUUCGAAAGCCAAAGUAUGAAUCUUCCUAUUGCCAUUUUUAAUUAUGAUUUAGAUAACAAGAAAAAAUAAUUAGUCUAGUUUUGGUUUAGGAUCUCUCCGGUUAUAGAAAGCAAUUUUGAGAUUUUACAUCUGGAAUUUUUAGAGACAUUCUCCACAUUUAAACAUCCAUUUCAAUUUUCGUUAUAUUUUUUUGUAAUUUUUAUAUGGAAUUAAUGCAGAGC